GUCCCUGUAGCGCAAUGGAUAGCAUUUUGGACUUCUAAUCAAAAGGUUGUGGGUUCGAACCCCGCCUGGGAUG